rnacentral:rRNA from 1 species
UACGGAGGGGGCAAGCGUUGUCCGGAAUCAUUGGGCGUAAAGAGCGUGUAGGCGGUCCGGUAAGUCCGCUGUGAAAGUCGGGGGCUCAACCCUCGAAUGCCGGUGGAUACUGUCGGGCUAGAGUGCGGAAGAGGCGAGUGGAAUUCCUGGUGUAGCGGUGAAAUGCGCAGAUAUCAGGAGGAACACCUAUUGCGAAGGCAGCUCGCUGGGACGUAACUGACGCUGAGACGCGAAAGCGUGGGGAGCAAACAGG